GCGCACUGAUGAAUAUCUUAUGGUCCUUUCCUUGACUUUGGAGUUUAUUUCAGUGCAAGAAUAAAAUUCCUUCUUGCAGAAAGAUCAGGUUGUAAUGUAGCCUGACCUUUCCGAGAGUUGGAUACAUUG
rfam:Xenopus laevis strain J chromosome 4L, whole genome shotgun sequence.